AAUCUCAACCACUAGGGUUUCCUAAUGGAUUGGAUUUGGGCGUUGCGAUCUCUGAUCGCUCGCCUUAAAAGAGUUAGCAAGUUUGACAUUAAUGUCUGGUGUAAUAAGUUUCACUGGGUCCAUUGUGUUGAAGCGUGCUUCUAAUCGUCCGCAAGGACAAUUACUUUGA
rnacentral:misc_RNA from 1 species